AACGUAGGAUGCGAGCGUUAUCCGGAUUUACUGGGCGUAAAGCGCGUGUAGGCGGUUCGGUAAGUUGGAUGUGAAAGCUCCUGGCUUAACUGGGAGAGGUCGUUCAAUACUGCCGAGCUAGAGGAUGGUAGAGGGAGGUGGAAUUCCGAGUGUAGUGGUGAAAUGCGUAGAUAUUCGGAGGAACACCAGUGGCGAAAGCGGCCUCCUGGACCAUUUCUGACGCUCAGACGCGAAAGCUAGGGUAGCAAACGGG
rnacentral:rRNA from 1 species